CACAUGCAAGUCGAACGAAGUUAGGAAGCUUGCUUCUGAUACUUAGUGGCGGACGGGUGAGUAAUGCUUAGGAAUCUGCCUAGUAGUGGGGGAUAACUUGGGGAACCCAAGCUAAUACCGCAUACGACCUACGGGUGAAAGGGGGCGCAAGCUCUCGCUAUUAGAUGAGCCUAAGUCGGAUUAGCUAGUUGGUGGGGUAAAGGCCUACCAAGGCGACGAUCUGUAGCUGGUCUGAGAGGAUGAUCAGCCACACUGGGACUGAGACACGGCCCAGACUCCUACGGGAGGCAGCAGUGGGGAAUAUUGGACAAUGGGCGAAAGCCUGAUCCAGCCAUGCCGCGUGUGUGAAGAAGGCCUUUUGGUUGUAAAGCACUUUAAGUGGGGAGGAAAAGCUUAUGGUUAAUACCCAUAAGCCCUGACGUUACCCACAGAAUAAGCACCGGCUAACUCUGUGCCAGCAGCCGCGGUAAUACAGAGGGUGCAAGCGUUAAUCGGAAUUACUGGGCGUAAAGCGCGCGUAGGUGGUUAUUUAAGUCAGAUGUGAAAGCCCCGGGCUUAACCUGGGAACUGCAUCUGAUACUGGAUAACUAGAGUAGGUGAGAGGGGAGUAGAAUUCCAGGUGUAGCGGUGAAAUGCGUAGAGAUCUGGAGGAAUACCGAUGGCGAAGGCAGCUCCCUGGCAUCAUACUGACACUGAGGUGCGAAAGCGUGGGUAGCAAACAGGAUUAGAUACCCUGGUAGUCCACGCCGUAAACGAUGUCUACCAGUCGUUGGGUCUUUUAAAGACUUAGUGACGCAGUUAACGCAAUAAGUAGACCGCC
rnacentral:rRNA from 1 species